AUUGAACGCUGGCGGCAUGCCUUACACAUGCAAGUCGAACGGUAACGGGCCUUCGGGUGCCGACGAGUGGCGAACGGGUGAGUAAUGUAUCGGAACGUACCUUUCAGUGGGGGAUAACGUAGCGAAAGUUACGCUAAUACCGCAUAUUCUGUGAGCAGGAAAGCAGGGGAUCGCAAGACCUUGCGCUGAUUGAGCGGCCGAUAUCAGAUUAGCUAGUUGGUGAGGUAAAGGCUCACCAAGGCGACGAUCUGUAGCGGGUCUGAGAGGAUGAUCCGCCACACUGGAACUGAGACACGGUACAGACUCCUACGGGAGGCAGCAGUGGGGAAUUUUGGACAAUGGGGGCAACCCUGAUCCAGCCAUGCCGCGUGAGUGAAGAAGGCCUUCGGGUUGUAUAGCUCUUUCGGCCGGGAAGAAAUCGCAUGGGUUAAUACCCUGUGCGGAUGACGGUACUGGCAUAAGAAGCACCGGCUAACUACGUGCCAGCAGCCGCAGUAAGAC
rnacentral:rRNA from 1 species